rnacentral:lncRNA from 1 species
UUCAAAGGCCCAAAAUAAAUAUCUCUGAGAUUCCAAAAAUAUUGUUUUAAGUUUUACCUCUUGCCAAUAUUUUCAGAGACUAAGAGGAACAUUUUCUUGGACUUCUUUGAAAAGAUUUUAAUGUUGAUUAUUUUUGAAGUGAUUUAUGAGGGUUUCAACUAACCUCAAUUCAACUUUCAGAAUUUAGACAUGAUGCAUGAUGCUCACUCAGGUAAUUAGCUACAAGCAAAAUCUAGGGUUUUGACAACUCACCCCCACUAAACAAGAAUCUCGUCCCGAGAUUCAAGACGUGAGGUAAGAAGACAGAGGGAACACUGAUAAAGAAUCUUCACGAUCCAAUUGCCCUUCUCGAAGAUGUUGAUUCAUUGCAUCAUGUCGAUCUUGACAUCCUCGCUUUUGAGAUCUUCAUCCAUGCGAUGACGACAGAAAGAAACUAUACUAGGAUUUAUCUUCUCAAAGAUCGAGCUAUACAAGAUCCACUCGCGGAAUGAGAUGUUGAAACAUCUUGAGUUGAGACACAUAACACAUCGAGAGGGAUGGAAGAACAAACGACGGGGUUUGAUUUGGGUGGGCAACAAUCCCACGUUUAGAAAGAUGGUGGAUGGUGUCAAGGUGGCGAGGAAAUAAUUGCCAUGAUUCCGUAACGGGGCACGUCAGGGAGGGCGACUCUUAGAAUUAUUCCCUUAAGUGGCAACAAGAAUUACUUUUGACAUAGAGAUCACUGAAACUCUCUAUACUAGCCUAAGGAAAAUCACAAUCAAUUUGUUGAAAUAGUUUGAAGGGAUGGCAUACUCAUACUAGAAUGGAUGAUGUGGACUACCUUGUUGAAGACAAUGCAAUGGAUGAUUUUUGCUUACCAUCGGAAAUGAAUGGGACUCAUGGUAAGUCCACCUUUCAAGAUGAAUCUAGACAGCAACUGCUGAGAAGGGCAGCCCAUGGGAAUUGGCACAAUGGCGGUGCGAGCUGGGAACAAAAUGCAACUGUUGGGAAAGUUCCAACCAUGAUAUCUGCCUGAGAUUAAGAUCCGAUUGGCGAUAGGAUACUUCAGACUCAGCAUGUCUGAAAAGAAAUUUUGCAACAAAAUUUGACGAUAUGGCGUUGUGAGACUCUCGGGAGAUGAACUACGAUAGCAAGCUCCAAAACAUGAGUUGGUUCAGCUACACACCUGUGAACACACUGUCCUAGACAAGCAUGACCACAUGGUAGUCUUAUAAUAAAACACUACCGAGUUCUGGUUGGGAAUCAUCAUCGAGAUAACGAAGUCUUGUUCAUAUCCGUCCGGGCCCUUCAGGAUUAGCGUAUGAACUUCUUUUCUUUGAACAAAUCAAUCAGUGGCUUGGUGUGCUAAGAAUACAUAUAGAAUGAAGGUUGCAAGUCUCCAGACCAUAGAAUACUUCGCACAUAUGUAUGAUUGACUUGGGAUGAUUCCAGAGGAAGCAAAACCAAGCUUUCUCGAAUUCACGGCGGCAACUUACAUCUAAUGCACGUGAAUCCAAGGAAGUCACUCCUUUCAUCCAAACAUAGGCUUCAUGAACGGAACACGAAGAUAAUGCUUACAAAAGUUUCCAACACUAGCUGGAUGUUCAACAUGAAUCAUGGGGAAGACAAAAUGCCGCUAAUGGGCUCGACAGCAACUCAUCGGAAUUUCCAUAUCACCGGACUUCCACCAUUAUGUGAACAACGUGAUAGUAUUGGUCAGACCAAAAGAUGUAAUGGUGUAUGCUCGAGGAACAACCACGAGUAAGACAACAUUAUGAACAUCGUUGGUUCUGAUUUGACUUGACGAUAGCCCAUACUCAAGUCAAAGUUUUGACACGGCAAUAGAUCCAACAACUAAUCACGAGGACCCAUCGAUGGAGAUAUCUUCUUUCUUCAACACACACACACACAAAAAGAUAUCCCUUAACAUGAUCCAAGUCAGACAAAUUUUUAUCUUCCAACUCUCCAAGUUUUUGUUUGGCUUAACCAACUAGCUCAGGGGUAUCCAACACAGAUUCUUGGAGAAAAGUGGUUUAUUGAAAAACCAACUUGAUCACGAGCUCAAGAUAACAGUCAGGGGAAAACUUGGUGAUACUUCCGAGAAGAUAUUCGGAAAAUCACGAACCACCGAUAGGUUACUAAGCUCGAGAACAAUCUUGCUGUUCAGGCAAGACGAUAUGAUCAAAUGAGCAAGGGAUUCAAUCCUAACUCAAAGAUCGAAGAGUGCACCAGAAAUGAGGACAAGGUAGCACGAUCAAUCCUAGAAUAGUGUUCCGAUAACCAACACGCUAAGAAUGAUAUUAGUGUCCAUUAACUACCAAGCAACACGGUUGCUAGGAGUAUUGAUUUCACACAUCAUGGUUCACUUGCCGGCAUUCCGGCUGCGACAACACGGGACCGAGGAAUGAAAAAUGAUGGCAAGAAGUAGCACUGCAUCAAGAAUUCAUAAGAGAUGGUGCAAUUCUCACGAUAUUCUUGACAUAAAGUGGGUAAUACUUCAGGGUAGAACAGAAUCAAAAGCUUGAUUGCAUUUGAUCUGCGGAAUACAACUGCUUUGACCCAAUCCUAGAAAUGGAUGAGGUACUGGAGCUUGUUUCUCCUAGUCAUUCUGGAAUAGAAUGGCUUGACGGACCACAAGAAUAAUAAGCAUUGAUAAACACGGAUGCACAAUUACUCCUGACUAUCAAUUGAUAGAUGAUGGUCGAAAUACAAAUGAAGAGGAACAACUCAAGGGGACAUAUAUCUUUCUAAGUUGUGGAUGCAUAGGUUAAUAUGUCGAACCAAGUUCAACAGGUUUCUUCCAAAUAACCCAUGCAGGAAGGUAGAACUGGCAGAGUCACAAUUAUGAAUGGAGAACUCCUUAAGAGUACUCUGAUUGUGAUAUUUUGGUUCAAAGAACUUUUGCCUUAAUGGUUCAUGGUAUUUGGAAGAAGAAAUACCACGAACCUCGAGGACUGUCGCAAGGUUACUAAUAUCCUAAAGGAACGAUCAGACACUAUCAACAGGAGGUAAGUAGGGUGAAUCUCGGGUUCAAGAACCCAGGAAUAGAAUACCUACUACUAAAUGGCAUCACGGGAUGCUUUCGAGAAUGGUGGCCAGAAUCAUCACACCAGAACACAAAACAUGGCUAGAUUACUAGGUGACUCCCUAAAACACCUAGGGUCAUAAUAAUAGCUCCAACAUAUAUGUCGAGGUAGUAGAGUACCUCAACAGACCGUUAGUGUGCUUAAUCUGGCCCAAAAGGACAUCAGAAACGGGAAGAAGGGAUUUGCAAAUGCAUCAGACUAGUUAGAGACCUGGGUCCUUACUCCCCGUAGAAGAGAAGAGGAUGACUCAGAUCAGAAGGCCAUAAGGUAAAGGAGUAAUAAGAGCCUUAUGUUCCCAUCCACAAUCAGUUCCCUUAUAUAACUAAAGCAUUUCUAGACUCAACUUCGACCAGUUUGGCUUGGUAAUCCUACAGGCAGUCAGUCUCUGAUACCAACGCUGUCAGGACCCCGAUUCCAAGUCACGUCGAUCUAGCCGGUAACACCUCAUAUCACUUUGUGGCCUCACGCAUGAUAUUCCCACAGGUGUCGCCUUACCAUGGCCCGGGACCGUUUGCGCCUUUUGGCUCACGUAUAUGAUAGUGUCGCUAGCAUCCAUAUGACAGAGAACCCGGGCUGACAUGGCUAGUCGUGAACCCAAAGCGGCACUAACCUAUGGGGACAGGCAUACAUGAAUCACAUUGAGCAUGUCGGUUAGCAGCGUGUGAAUCCGGGCUGUAGCACUGGGCUAACAGGACUCCGGGAACCCGGGCUGUAGCAGGCUAGGCAGGACUCCGGAUGUCACCGCGUGACAUUUCCCCGAAGGGACAAACACAUGAACAAAGUGAAACACAUGUCGGCCAGUCAAGUGUCCUGAGCAGUAGUGCUGGGCUAACAGGACUCCGAUGAACCGGGCUGUAGCGGACUACUAUGGCUCAUGGAAGCACUAGACUACAUUUCCCCAUAAGAGAGGCUGCCAAGGAUAAACAACUAGAUUGUCGGAUCCCACACAUACCAAGCAUUUCAAUCAUACACACGAUAUGCUCGAUAUGUGUAAACACAACAUGGCAUCACAACAUAACUCUACAACUCAAGUAUUUAUCCAUUAGGCUCCGAGGAGCGAGAUAUUACAAACAUGGGUCUCAUGACCCAACAAUCAUAGCAUACAAUUCCAAGCACAUGCGGAAGCUUAACAUAUCUGAGUACAGACAUCUACAAAUGAAAAAGGCUAAGAAGCCUGACUAUCUACCAGAUCCUUCCGAGGGCACAAGAUCGUAGCUAAGGUAUCAAGCUAAACGUCGAAGUCCACACGAAACUACUAGCGAGACUGACGUCUCUCUGCAAAACAUAAAAUAGGCAAACGUGAGUACAAAUGUACCCAGCAAGACUUACAUCAGAACUAUCUACAUAUGCAUCGGUAUCAAUAAAGGGGGUGGUGGAGUUUGACUGCAGCAAGCCAGCUUUUACUCAGUGGCUAACCUGAACUGCGACUGCAAGUAACUCUUUUGAGGUGGCGCACACGAGUCCACAUAUUCACCAUUCAAUACACCACUAUGGAUCCGUUCCCGACUCCCUAUGGGAAGGCCUACCAUAGCACUUACACUUUUCUUGCGAGUUUUAGAGUAUCCACUUUCACUUUUCUAUGAACUGUUAUAGGCAACCCAGAAGUCCAUUACCGCGGACACGGCUAUUCGAAUAGAUGAUGUUAACCCUGCAGGGGUGUACUUCUUCACACACGCUCUCACCACUUACCGCCGUUUACACGACAUGUACUCGGCAACCUUCAAGCGGAAGCCCAAUGAGGGUGUUGGCCACGGCCUACCUAAACAAUCAAGUCUCUAGUCCAGGUUUAUCGCCUAUCCAGGUUCCAUCCGCAGGGAGUCCGGACGAGGUUUCCACAUACGGCCCCGGACGAUGUGUACAGGGUUCCGAGACACCAAACGGGUGCCCGGCAUGCCUGGCCACGGUGUAUCUACCGCAUCAUAGCCCACCCCUAGGGUCAGUGCUACGCACGGCCACCAACACAUAUCCUAUAAACACCAGAAACUAGUUGCAACUCCUGGACAGAGGACAAGGGUGAUCAAGAAGCCGAGAGGGUCCAUUGGUUUCGGGCCCAAUGCGUGGUAGUAACUGUUUCAUGGAUCACAACACAGAACUCAGUUCCUGAGGACGGCUUCAAUGAGACAACCCACCAUGUACUCCUACAUGGCCUCUCACCGCCACCUUUACCAAAUCAUGUUCACACACUUAGCUCUCAACGGUAGGACAUGUUUACACACCUCUGAUUCAUCCCCGAUGAAUCAGACCUGACUCAACUCUAAGCAGUAGCAGGCAUGACAAACAAACAUGAAUGAGUAGGCACAUCAGGGCUCAAACAACUCCUACUCAUGCUAGUGGGUUUCAUCUAUUUACUGUGGCAAUGACAGGUCAUGCAGAGGAAAAGGGUUCAACUACCGCAGCAUGUGACAGUUGAAUCGUUGUUGUCCUAACGCAGUACAAGAGAGCAGGAGCGAGAGAGUGGGAUUGUAUCGAAAUGAACACGGGGGUUUUGCUUGCCUGGCACUUCUAAAGAUAUUAUAGCUCUUCAUCGGUCUCAUCAAACUCAUCAUCGAAACCACAUCUAUCGAAAGGGGACAAAUACCGGCAACAGAGAAAGAAACACAAUCAAUGCAAUGCACAAUAUGAUGCAUGAUCAUGACAUGGUAAAAUGAGUGUGUUGGGCUAAUGUAACUACAACCAGAUGGGUUUAAGCUAUUUUGAACCAAAGAUUCAAAGUUCAAACUCAUUUGUGAUCUUAAAUAGUGCUUAUCACGUUUUUGCACUAAAAAGCAAGUUAACUUGUUUAAACAUGCAUGAAACCAGUACAGAUGGAUAGAUUAGAUUUUUCUGAUCAUUUUUCAUAUAUAAAUCUUUGCAUUUGGAGUUACAGAUAAAUUUCUAUGAAUUUGUGAAGUUUGCAACAUUUUCUGGAAUUUCCUAUAUAAAAAUAAAUCCAGAAAAUACUUAUUGCGUCAGCAUAGUGUCACUGUGACGUCACCAAGUCAACGGGGGCGGUCCAGGUCAAACCUAACCUGUGGGUCCCGCGUGUCAGUGUCAUCACUAACUUAACAGAGUUAGUUAGUGUUAGAUUAAGCUCUAAUCUAAGUUAAUUAGCACUAAACUAAACCUAACUAAAAAUUAACAGGGCGGGCCCACGCCUCAGUGACCCUGGGGGGGGGGUCAAACAUGGGUCAACUCGCCGGAGUUGACCCGCGGCUCGUCGCCAGCGGAGUCAGAGACGGCGGAGGGCGUCGGGUUUGCUCCUCCAACGACCAAACGAGUGGCGGAGGGGCUCUGCGUGGAGCUGGUGCUCAUCCGCAUCCAAGGGAGCAAGCAUCAGCGGCUCGGGUGGUCUACAGCACUGACAGCGUCGAGGUUUGUGGCGGCCGGAGCUCGGGCAACGGCGGAGAUGGCGCUACAGGUGGCCGUGGGUCAAGCCAAGGGCACCAGUGGGUUGCCCUCGCCCGCCCGCAUCCAGAGGAGCAGGUGGGUGGCUGUGGGGGCACCGGAGCUCGCCGGAACAGAGCUCGCGGCGGUGGCCGGAGUUCGGGCGCCGAUGAAAAUGACGACAUCGUGCACGGGAGGGUCAACGGGUAGCACCUAAGGUUUCUACGGGCUCUCACAAAGCAAACAGGCAUAAGAACGGGACCGAUUGGCCACCGGAGCCUCGUCGGUGACGAGCUCGUGUGGUGGCGUGCUUCGGUCAUCAAGGGGGCGAUGGCUACGGCGAUCAAAGGGAGCGGGGGAGAGGGGGAAAUGGUGGCGGAGCUCACAACAAUCACGAAGAGGGGCUCGGCUUGCUCGGGGAAGGCUUGGCGACGGCGAAUCCGUCGAUGGAGUCCGGCGGCCGUGCUCGGGGAAGACGACUCGUGGCGGCGAUGUGGGGCUCCCGCGGUGGCGUGGCUCAGGGUGGAAGAAAGAGGGGGUCGAGGCGGAGCCUCUGGGCCGGUCAGAGAAGCGAGGGAGAGGCGGUGGCCGCGGUGGUGCACAUCGGCGGCGACGAGCUCCGCUCGGUCGCGAGAAAGAGAGAGAGAGAGAAGAGAGGGGAGUGAGGUCCAGGGAGAGGAGGGGAAGUGAGAGGGAGCGCUGGGCGUCUGCGUGGCACAUCCAGAAGAGCCAGGGCGUCGCGGUGGAAGCAGGAGCUGGCGCGCGCGGCGACCACGCGCCCUGCCUACUGGCGUGAGGAGGCAGACGACAGAGGGGGCUGCGGUGCUGGGCUGGGCUGCACAGUUGGGCCGUCAGGUGGCUAGGUGAGCUCUUCUCUCUCUCUCUUCUAGUUCUUUUUGUUUUCUAUUUUCUGUAAUUUGUUUUGAUUUAGUUUUAGACACUAAAUCAUUUUUGUUGCUUCUGAUAAUUCUUGUAGGGACUAGUUGGAUUAUUCCAAAGCCCUUCACCAAAGAUCAGAAUUAUUGGACAUAUAUUAAUUAAUUAAUUAAUAUAUAUCCAAUGCAAAUAGUUAUUGAUUUAAUUCAAAGGCCCAAAAUAAAUAUCUCUGAGAUUCCAAAAAUAUUGUUUUAAGUUUUACCUCUUGACAAUAUUUUCAGAGACUAAGAGGAACAUUUUCUUGGACUUCUUUGAAAAGAUUUUAAUAUUGAUUAUUUUUGAAGUAAUUUAUGAGGGUUUCUACUAACCUCAAUUCAACUUUCAGAAUUUAGACAUGAUGCAUGAUGCUCACUCAGGUAAUUAGCUACAAGCA